rnacentral:tRNA from 1 species
UUCCGCAAUAGCUCAGUUGGUAGUAGCGCUUGACUGUUAAUCAAGAUGUCGUAGGUUCGAGUCCUACUUGCGGAGU